AAUAAGAGGGAUCAUGGGUUGAUUAUGAAGAAACUUGAUCGUGUUUUGAUGAAUGACGUAUGGCUGCAGAAUUAUCCUAUGUCAUAUAGUGUUUUUGAAGCAGGAGGAUUUUUCAACCACUUAAGAUGUAAGAUAAAUCUGACUACAGUGAAUGAAGAAAGGGGUCGUGAGCGGCGACCUUUUAAUUUUGUCAACGCUAUUGAUAUGUCUAUAAUUUGCAUGUUUUCAGUGUCCAUUCAUCAUCGUUUUGAGUCCAGUUUCGUAUCAUUCAUCACUGUUUUAUAUCAUUUCUCAUCAUUCUUGCAUACUUUGCAUGAUUAGGAUAGUUUUGCAUACAUAUUUCAUUUCUGAGUUGUUUUCAGGUUAUUUGGAGCUGUUUGCAAGCAAAUUGGAAGAAACGAGCCAGAACCAGAAGACAUACUCGACCCCCAGGUCGAGUGACUUUGGAGCCAUUCUUCCCAUCCACUCGACCACCAGGUCGAGUAACCUCAGCUCAGGCCACUCGAUGACACUACUCGACCCCCUGGUCGAGUAUCACUUCGCCACACCAUCACCAUCACUCGACCAUUCGCUCUACCAAGUUACUCGACCCCCUGGUCGAGUAUCAUCACUCACCACCAUAAGCAUCACUCGACCGGACACUCGAUCACGUCUUCACAGUCUACUGAAAUCCGCACUCAACUAGACAAGCUGAGCACAAGGAAGAGAAGAGGAGAAGACAAAGUGUUUGGAAGCGGCCUGGACCUCCAUCGGAUCACGAAGCCCAUUUCGGCCCAUUAUCUCUCUAUGGGCCGAGCAGUUAGGUUAUUGGCCCGUCUACUAUAAUUUUAUUUCGUUUUGUAUAAAUAGAUGUCUUAGGGUUCUGUCCUGAGACAUCCGGUCGACAUUGAGUUUUUUUGCUUCAGUUUUAUUUUAUGUUUUACUCUGCUGCGCCGCUUUUGCUUCUGCAACCUGUAAUUCGAGAUUUUUCCAAGUUAUUCAGAUUCCGCAUUUGAUUUCAUCUGUCAUCUUGUUUCUCUACUCUUUAUCUCUUUACUUAUGCAAUAUUAUCGUUUAUCUGCGUUUAUGUCUUUGAGCAUGUUGUCUGAGUAGUGACUUAGAAUUCUUAGGGAUGGGAUAGAGUAGUUGUGGAAUCCGUAGUCUGUAGAAUGGUUAAGUUUUAGAAUUGAUUAAAUCCCUUUAGGACUAGUUGCGUUUACUGCUUAUUUCUUUCUGAUCAACUGGAAUUCGAUCUCAAGCAUUCCCGCACCCAGAAGGUGUUCGAUGGAAUGCUUGAUCCACUAGUUCCUGAGAUAUGCGUCUCUAUCCCAAGGGAUUGGCCGUUUAGAGCGUUUAUUGACUUUAUCAGUCUGUUCUUAUUGCCUGCAUAGUUAGAUUCCGUUAAUGCGAAUUUGUCUGGGCUAGCUUUGCUUGAGGAUUUCUGUCAGGAGUGAAUUGAUCUGUUGUUGAACCUGUUGUCUAGGGAUAGCUUGAUUGCGCUUGUUAACCAUUCGAAUAGGCUAGGAUACCACUCUACUCGAUUACCCCAUCCUUAGAAAUUUCUCGUCUAUCUUAUUUCUCUGUUUUAUCGUUAUCGCUUGAUCGUUCUCAUUGCCUGUUUCUUAGUUUUUACAAUCACUCGACCAACUUACUCGACCACACCCAGUGUCUGGCAACAGACUGUGCAGUCGAGUAAGAUUGUCUUGUUUCCUGUCUGUUACUCGACCUGUUACUCGACCACAUCCUACUUCUGGCAUCAGCCUGUUGUGGUCGAGUGAUUUUAGUAAUUCUGUUAUUACUUCUGUUUUCUGCAUGUUCGCUUAGGACUGUUAGAAACCCCAAAACUGUUAUUGUUUGGCUUGACUUAGUGACUUCUGAUCACAUUUCAUUUGUUUGCAUCACACUCAUUUGGAUUGACACCUAAAAUACUACAACGACAUGAUUAGUGUUUUAGGAUUAAUUGACCAUAAAAACCUAUUAUCAAUUUAGCGCCGUUGCCAAUUGGGUGUUUGUUUGCUAUAUUUGAGAUUUCAGAAUAUUUAAGAUCAAGUUCUUUUUCAUUUUUUCUGAAAGUUACUCACUUUGUGUUUUUUUUGUUUGUCUGUUUUGAUUCAGGUACUACGAAUCACCAGCUUCACCAGUUGGUACUCGUUGUAUGCAAACACGAUCACGAGGAAAUCAGAAUCUCCUGUUCAACGAUAACAUCGACCGUAUUGCACGCCAACUCAGAACACAGACAGAAACAGACACAAUGGCUGCAGUUGUUGAUGAGCAGGUGCAACCAAACAACAUAGGUGCAGGCGAUGCACCACGCAACCACAAUCAGCGUAAUGGCAUCGUGCCUCCACCUGUGCAGAACAACAACUUUGAGAUCAAGAGCGGUCUCAUUGCCAUGGUUCAGAGCAACAAGUUCCACGGCCUCCCUAUGGAGGAUCCACUCGAUCACCUAGACGAGUUUGAUAGGCUCUGCAGCCUAACAAAGAUCAAUAGAGUCAGUGAGGAUGGCUUCAAGCUCAGAUUGUUUCCAUUCUCUCUUGGAGACAAAGCACAUCAGUGGGAAAAGUCACUUCCUCAAGGCUCUAUCACCUCCUGGAAUGACUGCAAGAAAGCCUUCUUGGCUAAGUUUUUCUCAAACUCCAGGACUGCGAGACUACGGAAUGACAUAUCUGGUUUCACUCAGACGAAUAAUGAGACUUUCUAUGAAGCAUGGGAGCGCUUCAAGGGUUAUCAGACGCAAUGUCCUCAUCAUGGUUUCUCCAAAGCUUCGCUUCUUAGCACUCUCUACAGAGAUGCUUCUAGAUACCGCUUCUAACGGGAACUUCCUCAACAAAGAUGUUGAAGACGGAUGGGAGGUGGUAGAGAACUUGGCUCAGUCGGAUGGCAACUAUAAUGAAGAUUAUGACAGAAGCAUCCGCACAAGCUCUGAUUCUGAUGAGAAGCACCGUAGGGAAAUGAAAGCCAUGAAUGACAAACUGGACAAGCUACUCCUUAUGCAACAGAAGCACAUUCAUUUUCUGGGUGAUGAUGAGACGUUACAAGUUCAGGAUGGGGAGACUCUGCAGUUAGAAGAGGUCAGCUAUGUGCAGAACCAAGGAGGUUACAACAAAGGUUUCAACAACUUCAAGCAGAACCAUCCCAAUCUGUCUUACAGAAGUACAAACGUUGCAAACCGGCAGGACCAAGUUUACCCUUCACAGCAGCAGAAUCAACCCAAGCCCUUUGUUCCAUACAACCAAGGUCAAGGGUAUGUUCCUAAGCAGCAGUAUCAGGGCAACUAUCAGCAGCAACUUCCACCACCUGGGUUCACACAGCAGCAACAACAACCAGCUUUAACAACUCCAGAUUCGGACUUGAAGAACAUGUUACAACAGAUUCUCCAAGGGCAAGCAACAGGAGCAAUGGAUUUGUCCAAAAGGAUGGCAGAAAUUCACAACAAGGUUGACUGCAGUUACAAUGAUAUCAAUAUCAAGGUUGAAGCACUAACAUCUAAGAUCAGAUACAUAGAAGGCCAAACUGGGUCGACCGCAGCACCCAAAUUUACAGGACCUUCCGGAAAAUCAAUGUCAAAUUCAAAGGAGUACGCUCAUGCUAUCACACUUAGAAGCGGUAAAGAAUUACCCACAAAAGAGAGUCCGAACCAGAACACUGAGGACAGUCUGGAUCAAGAUGGGGAGGAUUUCUGUCAAAAUGGAAAUUCCGCUGAAAAAGCAAUAGAAGAGCCUAUACUCCACCAACCUACUCGACCACUAGCUCCUGCAGCAUCUCCUCUUGUUGAAAAACCAGCUGCCGCCAAAACCAAAGAAAACGUCUUCAUUCCCCCACCUUACAAGCCCCCACUCCCAUUUCCUGGUCGAUUCAAGAAGGUCAUGAUACAGAAGUACAAAGCUCUCCUGGAGAAACAAUUGAAAAAUCUUGAAGUCACGAUGCCUCUUGUCGACUGUCUUGCACUUAUACCAGACUCUAACAAAUAUGUGAAAGACAUGAUUACAGAGAGGAUCAAAGAAGUCCAAGGAAUGGUGGUGCUAAGUCACGAAUGCAGUGCGAUCAUUCAGCAGAAGAUCAUUCCAAAAAAGCUAGGAGAUCCUGGUUCCUUCACCUUACCUUGCGCUCUUGGCCCUUUAGCCUUCAGCAAGUGCCUCUGUGAUCUAGGUGCAUCUGUGAGUCUCAUGCCUCUCCCUGUG
rnacentral:sRNA from 1 species